UUUCAAUUGUCCAGCAUAAGAAUGAAGAAAUCUGAAUCAGACCAGCUGAAGCAAAGCCUUUUCUGCAGCCUUGUAAAAACCCAGGAGUAACUUAAGCUUCACCAGUAUUGGUCUCAGCACAGACUAAGGGUAAGAAGCCUUGGAGCUUUCCCUGAAAUUCUGGGCUGGCUGCUGGCUCUCUUCCAGCUUGGGGGGUCCCAGCCCUAUAGCACUGAACCCCCAAGUUCCUGCAGCUGAGCUGGGUU